GGGCCAUUAUACAGUUUUUAAUGCUUUUAACACUGCUGGAUGAUGAAAUUUUAGAUGUUUUGACCAGUUCACAUUUCAAAGUUUGGAUGUUUGAACAUGCCUACCAGGGGGCCUAUUCCUGUCAUUUCUUUUACCUCCUUUAGCCUUAUCAAAGCUCCUCCAAACUUAUCUGAUUAUUUCAGUGGCUCCUCCAAGCUCAUCAAGGCUUUCCACUGGCCUCUUCCAUCCUCCUCUAAAAUGGAAGGUUGUUUUGGAAGAGUUUGGAAGAGGCUGUGGUAGGCAUUAGUGGCACAUCUCAUUCAUAUGAUUUGUUUGGGCUCAUUUGUUGUCACAUAACAGAAGUAAAGAACUGUUGGGUUCAACUACUUCUGAUCAAAUAGUCUCACAACCAUGUCUGCAACAGAAGAUAUUCCAGAAUGUUUGGAUGACAUCAGAACAUUGGUGCAAACAAAAGGGGUUGACUUAAAGUCUGAAGUGAUGAAGGGUCAGCUUCUGCUUGAAAAAAUACAGGAUAUCACAGAUCAAAUGGAAGAUCUGAAUACAUCUAUUUCAUCAGAGAUUCGGCCGGCGCUGGCCGACUCCACCGACCAGCUGCAGCACAUGACCGAGG